AAAAAAAAAAAGAAAAGAAAAAGAAAUCUGGGUACCCGCGAAUGCGAUUUUUUUUAGGUUUACCGAUGAUCAGUUUAGCAGUGCCUGGGAGCUCUUAUACCAAGUUUGUUUUCGCAAUAUUGAGUCCCACCUUAGCUAAGCUUGUGUGUAUUUUAAACUCCCAUGGAAGUCAGGAAAUGUCCGCAAACGCGAUUUCUGGUUACCAAGCUCCGUUUGGCAAUAGCAAGUCCUGCCGAACGCGACUUUUUCCUCUUGUGGACCAAGUCUGAAUAGACCAGCUACUGCGAUUUUUAAGUCGUAGUAAAAAAGGUUUAACCGUGACUGCUUUUUUUUGUUGGUGUUGUUUGUUUUUGUUUUUGUUUUCGUAGGAAAUGUAGACUUAGGUGUAACAUGUACCGGUUUAGAUCUGACAGAGAUAUCACAAUUGUAGGAUUGCAUCUUUUAGCAAGGUUUGUAAUUUCUUCUUUCUAGGAUUGGUUCUCUGUAAUUUUUGCUUAUUUUUAAAUUCUCUCUUUGUCUUUUGCUCUGAGAACGAUGUUACCGAUGUGUUUGCUUUCCAUGUUUACUUGCAUUUUAGCCUUUAUUUUUUUAAUUUUGAUUUUAUUUAAAUGUUAUGUAUUUUUUUUCUACUAAUUUUGAGCGUCUCAGCUUCCUGCUUCUUUACUUACAUUCUCUCAGGAUCCGGGGAGCCGAGCUCGGUCUCAGUCUCCCUGCUGUCAGGUGCCAGGUUGUGUCUGGUGGCUCUCCUUCGUAUGCGGAGCUGAUGGUUUUGCAUCAGCGCUUUUGCCAGUAGAGCCGACUAGCGUUUUCUCAGUUACGGCACCGUUCUUAGCGCCCAGUGUGACGUUUCCCAUUCGCCAGGUCCUUAUGUUCUCUGUGCUGUCACUUUCUUGGUUCUCGCACCGCUAGUAUCUGCUAAAGAACUUCCUAAACCAUGUUUUACUGUGCAGAACGGUGAUUGCACGGAGCCGCUGUACGCACUAGUAAUUUCAUAGCACCGUUAGCUGGCGCUUUUUCUGUCACAACACAUUAAAACGGGUUAAAAUACUGCAAGCGGAUUAAACACAUUAAGAGGAUUAAAACAUUAAAAUGUCUCAACACAUUUUUCUGACACAACACAUUUAAACGGAGUGGGUUCAUUCCUCCGAAGAGGAUGUUUAGGCGUGGAAGCACCGCUGUUUCCCAAGAGCACGGUUUCUCUCUGGCAGCACCACUUAUGGCACCAAAACAGGUAUUUUUUGGCAACACCAGCACUAUUCGCUAGGUGCCGGCGCUUGCUGAGUCCCAGCGCCGCCAGUUUCUCUUUCGGUCGUUAAGUAGCUCAGAGCCCUAGCGGACAGUUUUCAGGUGGCAGUAAUGCUCAUUUCCUGGAACAGAUGGUUCGUGGCCCUUGAAGCGCUGCGAUCUGUAAAGCUAGUUCUCUGCAAGAUUAAGGUUUCCACCCACCUCCCUGAAAUCUGAUUUGGACCCCCAGGAGGCCAGAAGAGUAUAAAAACGCAAAAGAUGUUGACUUCUGAGUCCCACAUACCCGGCGUCAGCUGGUGAAUGAAAGACACGAAGGAGCUGCUGUGGAGCUGCUGUCUCCCCUCGGAGUUUGGCAGGCCCGGGAUUCCGCAAAGGAGUUGGCGGGGCCAGAUGCCUCCAGCCCUGAGCUCAGUACAUUCGGUGUCCUGGAUGCUCCCUUCCUUUCCUUAUCACUGCGAGCUCUCCUGGGACGGCCUAGAUUUCCACUGGGACCUACUUUCGGCUCCCUGCGUGCUUCAUUGCUGAAACUGCCGGCGAAAAGAUCUCUUUCUCAAGCCUCAGAGCACCUUGAGGCGGGGCGCAGAGUCGCCCGCUCUGGAUCCCGCGCCAGAGACCCAGGAGGAUCCGCAGGAGCCCUCGGGAGAGCAGGAGGCUGCAUAGGGUCUCAACGUACUCCCGUCCCCGCAGCCUCCCUCGCAACUCGCCCCUCGCUCGGUAGGCAGACAACUCCAGCCGGACAGGUCCGUCCGAGGAGACCUUUCAGAGUGUCAGCCUACUGCUGACCUCGGAGCCACCAACCAAAGUUCCAAGACUGCUGGCUGCAGAUUGCAUGCUCUUGGGGCAGACGCCCUAAGAAUGUGUCCACCGAGUCCAAUGUGUCUUUGGAGUCCUGAGCCCUGAGAUUUCCGCUAAGACCUUCCAUUGGACGAUCUCUUGUAACAGAUGUUGUUACAGUAACACGUGAGUUCGCUCAAAUGCGAUGGAAGUUUUGCCUUUCGAUCAUUUUGUGCCUUUGUCUUUCCCCUUCUCAAUAAAAUCGUACACAAAUGUGAAAUUCUUGUUGCCUGUGUUCCUGUUGAUGUUGGGUAAGGAUGAGCCUCAGGGGCGGGGUGGCUGGUUGCUGGUGCCAGGACUAUCACGGGGACCCUGAAUCCCCUAGGUUUGCUGGUUGCAGGGCAAACAAAAAGUACAAGAAGUGUGUGUCUUAUGCAGAGAUUGGAGGGGAGAAUAGGCCAGGGGUCGUGCAUGGCUGGUGACUCACAGGCUGAGCCUACAGGAAAUCCGGUGAACAGGCAGCAGACCUGAGAACUUACUGCAGGAAAUUCUCCUGUUCUGAGGCCCUGGAACUUUUUCCCUCUGAAGGUUUGCACCUUUCUAUCUUGAGGCCUUGUUAAACUCAUAAUUUCUGGAAGUUUUCUUCUAGACUCUUUAAGAUUUUCUCCAUAGGCUCAUGUUCUGCAUGUAUGAAUAGUUUCAUUUUUUCACUUCCAAUGUAUAUGCUUUCUUACUCCUUUUCUCACCUUAUUGCACUGGCGAACAAUUCCAGUAC
rnacentral:lncRNA from 1 species